CGCGCGCCUCGGCCAAGGACAAGCCUCCGGCUGCCGCUGCCGCCACCGCCUCUGCCCCGGCUAUAAAGCCGCGCCCUUUGGCCGGCCCGCUCCGCUCCUCCUCCUCUCUUCCUCCGCGCCGCGCCUCUCGCCUCCUCGCCGCGCCCUGCCCGGUCCGCUCCUCCUCCUCGUCUUCGUCCGGGCGGCGCCUCUCUCCUCCGACCUCCCCGCAGCGCUCCGGCCGGUCCGCUGCUCCUCCGCCCUUCGUCCGCGCCGCGCGUCUGCCCUCCUCGAGCCGGGUUUCAUCUUGCUCGCCCUCCUCGGUCGAUUUGCCCGUCUAGAAUCGCGUGUCCGGAUUCGAUUUUGCUUGUCCCCGGUCGAUUUGCCCGUUUGAUUUUGCUCGCCGUCGCCGGUUUAGAUAGCUAGAGAACCCCGCCUGAUUUGAUUUUGCUCGUUCUUGCCGUCGUUCGUUUAGGAGCGCGUCUGAUUUGAGUUUGCUCGUGCUCUGUCAGUUCGUCAGCUUUAGAGUCGCUCCCGAGUUGAUUUUGCGCGUCCCCGCCGUCGUCAGUUUAGAGUCGCUCGCCUCUGAUUUGGUUCUGCUCGUCCUCGCCGUCGUCCGUUUUCGUUUUUGCUCGUCCUCGCCGUUGCCCCGACGCGCCCGCGUGUUCUUGGUCCGUCUCGUCGAGGGUCUCCCGUCUGGUUUGCGAUUCAGAAAUUUCUGCGUGUGCUUCUGUUAUCUGAGAGUCGCUUUGGAUCCUGCGUUUGAGCGUGUUCGUGUCAGCGCGAGCGUUACAGGAACGGUCGGGUCUUGGUUUUGAAGUUGGAUUACGGGCCGGAGAUGGAGAGACGGAGAGCGAUUGUCAGUUUGGCGUGGUAGUUCAGAUCGGUUCCUAGGCUCCUGCGUUGUUCGUCGGUUGUUGUCUGAUCUCAAACGGCCAGCUUGUUCGUGUUAGCCUAGAUGCUCCGGUUCCUAUGUCGAUUCUGAUUGUACCAGCUAGCUUGUUUCACUUUCGUCAGGCCAGAUGCAGGGGUGAUUUUGUUCUGAUGGGUGUUAAUUUAUGUUCUUUCCAAUCCAAUUGGUUGGUUACUUCCUAUCAUGCUCUGUUUAUGUUCCCAUAUAUGCUGAUGUGUGUUCAGGGGUGCCAUUUCGAGCAGGCAGGCAUAGCAGAAAGUUUUAAAAGAGUGCAAAUCAUGUGGCUUGCUGCUUGACUAAUUGAACACCUGCUGCUACUACUGUAGGACAAGGUUUCCUUCUUUUAUUCCUUCUGUUGCUAUUUCCAUUUUCAUAUAGGAGUACACUAGAUGAAUUGCUUCUAGCCCCUUAGACUUCGUUCUGAUUGCAUAGCAUUACUCCAGAAUUUUGUCAUUGCACACAUGCGCAUAUAAUUCUGCUAUGAGCAUAACUUCCAGAAUUUAUUUAUCUGUGAAAGCACCUUCAUCACAUGUUUUCUAUCAAUGCUGCUCAUGUCCCUUUUGUUUGUCCUGUUAAAUUUUAUGCCAUCAACUUGGAGCAAAUUUUGUACUCACUGGUUCAAAUAUCAAGAAUGCUGACUUCUGUAAUUGUCCCUAUGUAAGCCAUGCACUUGGGAAGCCUGGGCAUGACUAGGAUUUGGAUUGCUUAUAGAUUUUAUGCUAUGCUUGUUUAUAACCUAGUUGUGACCUAAUAUAGUGCAAAUCUGCUAAUUUUUUAAUUUAAUUCAUGUUCAACGCAAGUAGGCUUUGUUUGUAAGUGGUAUUUCUUUUGCGUGUGCAUGAACAUUCAUGCUGUCAAUUUUUCUUAUCAUAAUCAUUUACUGUGGUGUUUGACAAUACAUUUCUACUGUUCUUUGUUCCCUUUUGAGGUUCACUAACUCAAUUAUGCAUGAGAUAUGAUAUCAAUUACUGCUGUCCAGUCACUGAAAUAAUGCUUUUCUUGCUUUGCCUAGACUUUGUGACAAGAAUAAGCAUGUGUCUCUGUGCCUACAAACUUGUGGGUAGUGCCGUAGUGAUGAUGAUCUAACUAGCUUCCUGUUUUCAGGAAUGAAGAUCUGAACUACCCUCACCCCUCUACAGAAACCAGUUUACUCAUUCAGUUUCUGGAACUUCUUUAUAGCUUUCCGAGCUUACUUCGGUCUUGCAUGUAUUAGCUUUCUGUUUGUACCCUUAUCUAUGUCUGUCUCUUUGUGUGUUUCUUGUGUGCAAGUGAUCCAUUGUGUGUGUCUGACUAUGUGUCUGACUGUGUGUGUGAUGUGCGCCUAUCUAUGUGUGUUUCUUUGUCUGUUUCAUGUGUGCAAGUGCUCCAUUAUCUGUGUGACUGUGUUUAACUGCUUGGAUGUGGUGAUUCUGAUUGUGUUACUGCUUAUAUGAUCUGUCCAAUUGGUUUCUUAUUCAUGCUUUGCUUGUGUUCCAAUGUCGUCUCCCCAUAUAUGGGGAUGUGUUCAGGGAUGCAAACCAUUUAGGCUUCUCUCCUGCUGAUAGAUGAUGAUAGGCUGAGCAGAAUAGUUUGACUCUUGUAACACUCACUUGCUUGGCUUCCACUCCUUUGUGUGGCCGAUUUGGCAUCCAAUGCAUCUCAUGCCUAUCUUAUAUAUCUCACUCACUCAUCACAGCAUCCUUUUCCAUGUUUUUGUUCCUUUUUUUCUUAUCAUAAUAAUCAUGUAUAAUCAUGUAUGUUUCUUUGUGUGUUUCUUGUGUGCAAGCGAUCCAUUGUGUGUGUCUGACUGUGUGUGUGUGUGAUGUGCCCCUAUCUAUGUAUGUUUCUUUGUCUGUUUCAUGUGUGCAAACGCUCCAUUGUCUGCAUGUGACUGUGUUUGACUGCUUAAAUGGGGUGAUUCUGAUUGUGUUACUGAUUAUAUGGUCUGUCCAAUUGGUUUCUUGUUCAUGCUUUGCUUGUGUUCCAAUGUCGUCUCCCCAUAUGUGGGGAUGUGUUCAAGGAUGCAAACCAUGUAGGCCGUUUCGAGCAGGCAGGGAUCCGGAGACGUGCACUGGUCAGGCUUCUCUCUUGCUGAUAGAUGAUGAUAGGCUGAGCAGAAAAAAUUGAUUCUUGUAACACUCACUUGCUUGGCUUUGCUUGGCUUCCACUCCUUUGCGUGGCCGAUUUGGCAUCCAAUGCAUCCCAUGCCCCUUUCCCUGUUUAUCUCACUCACUCAUCACAACACCCUUUUCCCUGUUUUUGUUCCUUAGUUUUCUUAUCAUAAUAAUCAUGUUUACCGUGGUGUUUGACAAUACAUUUUUUGUGAUAUCUGUGUUUCGUUAUGUCUUAUGUGGAUAUCAUAUACUUUUUUUGUAUUACUGAUGUCCAAUCACUGGAAUAAUGCUUCUGUAAGUAUUUCAGGUAGGAUAUAGACAAAUGUCACAUUUGCUCUUCCUUGCAUUGCUAAGGACACUGAUGGGUUGGGUUUGCUUACAGCGCAGGACAGGUAAUUCUAUAAAGAAUCAUUGGAAUAUUUCUUUGAGAAAGAAGAUAGAUGUCUAUGGCACCAGAAAUAUUUUGGCAAUUCCAAGACUCUUCUGAGGGUCAUCUUGAUCUGAACAACUCAUCAUUCUAAUUUUAGCUCGCCUCUACGGUCAUACAAACUGGCAUGCCAAGGACUGCUCAGGGUUCCUAUCACUUUCUGUUUUACCAACUAAGGCAAUCAAAUUUUGAUCUUCAGCUUGCAAAUUUAUCACCUUAUGGGAGGGAAAGUUUUGCAUGGACAUGAGCUCUGAUUGUCUACAUAUAUACUUGAAUUGCUUUGGAUUUGUCGGACUACUUUUCUCCAUGAUGUUCUCCAUGAUUCAGUUGAUUUGUUAAUUUGAGUAUUUUCCUGGUGAGUUCCUCAGGUUCAUCUUGUGACACAAAAUACAAUUUUGGUACAUGCAGAUUCCGAAAUUUGGUGAUAAAGAAAAGGUACAUCCUAAUUUGCUCUCUGCGCUCUUACACUUGACUUCAUUUAUAUAACAGUAGCGGCCUCCUAGCAUGUAGUUGGGUAAUGCAGAGAGAGGUUUGGAAUCGAAGAACUAAAAUAAUGCAGAGUUGAAGGUUCUGAACGGCAAGCUUGAACAAAUGGUUUACUUUUGCUCAUGUCUUCGAUUAGUUUCAUCCUAUCUAUGUCUGUUUCUUGUGUGCAAGCAUUCCAUUGUGUCUGUGUGACUGUGUGUGUGACCGUGACUGUGUGUGUGACUGACAGUUUGUGUGUGUGACUGACUGUGUGUGUGUAUUUCUUUGUCCGUUUCUUGUGUGCAAGCGCUCCAUUGUGUGUGUGUAUGUGUGUCUCUGUGUGUGUGUGUGUUGUCUGACUGACUGUGUAUUGACUGUGACUAUGUGUGUGUGUGUGUGUGUUGACUGACAUUGACUGUGUGUAUGUGUGUGUUGACUAUGACUGACAGUUUGUGUGUGUGACUGACUGUGUGUGUGUAUUUCUUUGUCCGUUUCUUGUGUGCAAGCGCUCCAUUGUGUGUGUGUGUGUGUCUCUGUGUGUGUGUGUUCUUUGAUUGACUGUGUAUUGACUGUGACUGUGUGUGUGUGUGUGUGUUGACUGACUGUGACUGUGUGUAUGUGUGUGUUGACUGUGACUGUGUGUCAUUGUGCAAGCACUCCAUACCUCUGUAGUUGGUAGUAUCAUUGCCCUUUGGACACUCUUCAAUGCAUUGUUGUAUAUUUUCCUGCCACAAGUAUGAUGUUUGUGCUCAGAAUGAUGUAUAUGUAGAAUCCAGCGGUGGAUGGAGGUUUUCAUGAUGGCUAAUCUGAUUUUUUACGGUUCUGAUGGUGUGCUUCUGGUGUUUGAACUGAAGCCGUGGAUUGCCCAUCAACCUGGUCUGUGUUUGUAUGCUGAAUUAUUUCCAGAUAGGACAGAGGUGCAAUGUUUACAUCCAUGGCAGAAGGUUCUUCAACACUGCACUCAUCGAAGGUCGUUGGACUCAAGAGGAGGAUGACAAAAUAAUUGACCUUGUAAACAAGUAUGGACUAACAAAAUAGUCUCAUUGCAAGGUCAGCUACCAGAACUUCCUGCUGCUGAUCCUGGAAUGUUUCCGAACAUGUUCAAUUUAUCCGCUCUAGGACAGCCACUGCCAUGACACAGUAGGUUACUCGUUAUUCUCGGCGUGUUUACUUUGGUGGACUUCCUCCGAUUGCUAAUGAACAGAUGGCUGCUCUAUUCUUCAAUCAAGUUGUGGCUGCUAUCGGGGGAAACACAUUUGGUCUAGGUGGCAUAAUCAUCUGAAUCCAAACAUAUGGAAGGAUGCUUGGACUACUGAGGAGGAACAUGCACUGAUUAAUGCCAUCAGGUAUUUGGGAAUAAAUGAGCAGAAAUAGCAAAAGUUAUUCCUGGAAGGUACUGCAUGCCAAACAACUUACAUUAUGGGUCUUGCUUGUAGUAUUAGCUUUCUGUUUGUGCCCUUUGUGUGUGUGUGACUCACUGUGUGUGACUGUGACUGUGUAUGUGUGACUGACUCUGUGUGACUGCUACUGUGUGUGUGACUGAAUCUGUUUGUGACUGUGACUCUCUGUGUGACCGACUGUGUGUGUGUGUGUUUGAAUUAGUAUUGCAUUUGCUUGAUGGUCUGUGCUGUAUGCUUUGCUUGAUGGUGUGUCUUGAAUGCUUUGCUUGAUGGUGUGUCCUGAAUGCUUGUCUCUCUAUGUGACCGACUGUGUGUGUGUGUGUGUGUUUGAAUUAGUAUUGCAUUUGCUUGAUGGUGUGUGUUGUAUGCUUUGCUUGAUGGUGUGUCUUGAAUGCUUUGCUUG